GACGAACGCUGGCGGCGUGCUUAACACAUGCAAGUCGAACGAUGACGACCGAGCUUGCUCGGUCUGAUUAGUGGCGAACGGGUGAGUAACACGUGAGCAACCUGCCCUUCACUCUGGGAUAACCUCGGGAAAUCGGGGCUAAUACCGGAUAUGAGCUCCUGUCGCAUGGCGGGUGUUGGAAAGUUUUUCGGUGAAGGAUGGGCUCGCGGCCUAUCAGUUUGUUGGUGAGGUAGUGGCUCACCAAGGCGAUGACGGGUAGCCGGCCUGAGAGGGCGACCGGCCACACUGGGACUGAGACACGGCCCAGACUCCUACGGGAGGCAGCAGUGGGGAAUAUUGCGCAAUGGGCGAAAGCCUGAUGCAGCGACGCCGCGUGAGGGAUGACGGCCUUCGGGUUGUAAACCUCUUUCAGCAGGGAAGAAGCGAAAGUGACGGUACCUGCAGAAGAAGCGCCGGCUAACUACGUG
rnacentral:rRNA from 1 species